rnacentral:rRNA from 14 species
GAUGUUGGGUUAAGUCCCGCAACGAGCGCAACCCUUGUUCACUGUUGCCAGCACGUUAUGGUGGGGACUCAUGGGAGACUGCCGGGGUCAACUCGGAGGAAGGUGGGGAUGACGUCAAAUCAUCAUGCCCCUUAUGUCUUGGGCUUCACGCAUGCUACAAUGGCCGGUACAAAGGGCUGCGAUACCGCGAGGUGGAGCGAAUCCCAAAAAGCCGGUCUCAGUUCGGAUUGGGGUCUGCAACUCGACCCCAUGAAGUCGGAGUCGCUAGUAAUCGCAGAUCAGCAACGCUGCGGUGAAUACGUUCCCGGGCCUUGUACACACCGCCCGUCAAGUCACGAAAGUCGGUAACACCCGAAGCCGGUGGCCUAACCGUUGUGGGGGAGCCGUCGAAGGUGGGACUGGUGAUUAGGACUAAGUCGUAACAAGGUAGCCGUACCGGAAGGUGCGGCUGGAUCACCUCCUU